rnacentral:ncRNA from 2 species
AUGAGAAUAAGGGGAGAGACUAUAUGUAUAUAGCGCCGAAGGAGCAAACAACUGUGAAUCUCUCAGGCAAAAAGACUCUUAUUUGACG